GACGAACGCUGUCGGCGUGCUUAACACAUGCAAGUCGAACGGAAAGGCCCUGCUUUUGUGGGGUGCUCGAGUGGCGAACGGGUGAGUAACACGUGAGUAACCUGCCCUUGACUUUGGGAUAACUUCAGGAAACUGGGGCUAAUACCGGAUAGGAGCUCCUGCUGCAUGGUGGGGGUUGGAAAGUUUCGGCGGUUGGGGAUGGACUCGCGGCUUAUCAGCUUGUUGGUGGGGUAGUGGCUUACCAAGGCUUUGACGGGUAGCCGGCCUGAGAGGGUGACCGGCCACAUUGGGACUGAGAUACGGCCCAGACUCCUACGGGAGGCAGCGGUGGGGAAUAUUGCACAAUGGGCGGAAGCCUGAUGCAGCAACGCCGCGUGCGGGAUGACGGCCUUCGGGUUGUAAACCGCUUUCGCCUGUGACGAAGCGUGAGUGACGGUAAUGGGUAAAGAAGCACCGGCUAACUACGUGCCAGCAGCCGCGGUGAUACGUAGGGUGCGAGCGUUGUCCGGAUUUAUUGGGCGUAAAGGGCUCGUAGGUGGUUGAUCGCGUCGGAAGUGUAAUCUUGGGGCUUAACCCUGAGCGUGCUUUCGAUACGGGUUGACUUGAGGAAGGUAGGGGAGAAUGGAAUUCCUGGUGGAGCGGUGGAAUGCGCAGAUAUCAGGAGGAACACCAGUGGCGAAGGCGGUUCUCUGGGCCUUUCCUGACGCUGAGGAGCGAAAGCGUGGGGAGCGAACAGGCUUAGAUACCCUGGUAGUCCACGCUGUAAACGGUGGGUACUGGGUGUGGGGUCCAUUCCACGGGUUCCGUGCCGUAGCUAACGCUUUAAGUACCCCGCCUGGGGAGUACGGCCGCAAGGCUAAAACUCAAAGGAAUUGACGGGGCCCCGCACAAGCGGCGGAGCAUGCGGAUUAAUUCGAUGCAACGCGUAGAACCUUACCUGGGUUUGACAUGGAUCGGGAGUGCUCAGAGAUGGGUGUGCCUCUUUUGGGGUCGGUUCACAGGUGGUGCAUGCCUGUCGUCAGCUCGUGUCGUGAGAUGUUGGGUUAAGUCCCGCAACGAGCGCAACCCUUGUUCACUGUUGCCAGCACGUUAUGGUGGGGACUCAGUGGAGACCGCCGGGGUCAACUCGGAGGAAGGUGGGGAUGACGUCAAGUCAUCAUGCCCCUUAUGUCCAGGGCUUCACGCAUGCUACAAUGGCUGGUACAGAGAGUGGCGAGCCUGUGAGGGUGAGCGAAUCUCGGAAAGCCGGUCUCAGUUCGGAUUGGGGUCUGCAACUCGACCCCAUGAAGUCGGAGUCGCUAGUAAUCGCAGAUCAGCAACGCUGCGGUGAAUACGUUCCCGGG
rnacentral:rRNA from 1 species